GGAGGAGAUUGAGGCUGACAAGGCACCUGCCAGGGCAUCAGUCAUUCUCGCUGGGCUUGGCUUUACCCCUAAAAUGCAGCAGCAGCCCACCCGGGAGUUCUCAGGUGGCUGGAGGAUGAGGCUGGCCCUGGCCCGGGCCCUCUUUGCUAGGCCGGAUCUUCUGCUGUUAGAUGAACCUACAAACAUGCUGGAUGUCAGGGCCAUCCUGUGGCUGGAGAAUUACCUGCAGGUGAGUGCCUGUGGGUGCUGGAGUGUGUUGGGGAAAGGCGGCCUCCAAGAUACCUGGGGGCCUGAGAACUGACUGCCCUCCCAAACUGGACCUACCGUCCUGUGACCCCUCAGACGUGGCCCUCCACAAUCCUAGUCGUCUCCCACGACCGCAACUUCCUGAAUGCCAUCGCCACAGACAUCAUCCACCUGCACAGCCAGCGGCUAGAUGGUUACCGGGGAGACUUUGAGACCUUCAUCAAGAGUAAGCAGGAGCGGCUGCUCAACCAGCAGCGUGAAUAUGAGGCGCAGCAGCAGUAUCGCCAGCACAUCCAGGUUUUCAUUGACCGGUUUCGCUACAA
rnacentral:sRNA from 1 species